CAAGAAACAAGCACGACCAAUGCAUUUAUAAAAACACCACAACCCUCAAACUUCCUUAUGAAAGACUUACGCUGAAUACAAAGUUACGUAGCCAUUCAAACACUAUAAAUACAACCAGUACCCCCAAACUUUUCCCCCCACGGCAAGAAAGGAUGGAGUAAUGAGGGUAGGGGGAAGGAGAGAGGGAAGGCCGACCAGGACCAGGAAAGGAAGUGCUAGAAGCGUCGAGGAGUGCCGCCGGAAGGAAGCAAGACUCGUGCCCGUGGUAAACAUUCUUGCUAAUUGAGUGCGAUCCGUUGUUCUGUGAUGCGUGAUACUUAGUGACGAGAAGGACGAGGCCACCAGGACCCUGUGACGUGCGUGGCCGGGGACGAGGAGCGGAGAGGCAGAGACAAAGGAGGCAAGAAAUCAUCUGGUGACUUGAAGGUAUGUCCAGCGCACCUGCCGAGGGACUGGAGAAGGUGACAUUCCAUAUUUAGGUACUCAGUCCUCGUCGACUUCGUCUUCGUCCUCGCUCACCUUCACGGUACGUCUUGUCUUGGCGGGCCUGAGAGUGAAAACAUUAAUUCGGACUACAACUACAACACUCACCAGGUGUGCCACAGGGAGUACAUAAAUUUGUCUCGCUAAGAUAUAUACAAUACCAUGAUAACUUUUAUUUUAUGCUGAAAAAAAAAAAAAUGUACAAGAGUAGUCUUUCAUAAUUUUGACGACACCUGAUGGUCUUGCCAUAGAGCGUCUUUUAUUGCAAAGUAUCGUAAAUUUCUGUGAUAUUUGUCACAAUGCAUUUUUUACGCGGAAAAUAUCGUACACUUGACGCCUGUAAAUAAGGAAAGUCACUGUACAUUCCUCAGUUUUGAUAUCUGUCCACAUUAAAAACGACCGGUAGUACAUUUCUAAUUUACUAGACUUUUAAACUUAAAACAACUACUGUACAUUUCCUAAAACACCUCAAUCGAAAGAUGCAUUGGAUUUUCACCUUAAAGUAAAGCACGUGACUUUUCUUUUCCAUCCCUUGCUUGUUGUACGUGCUGAACAUUACUCCUCCUGCAUCUACGAGAAUGUCUUUUGAUCCCCAGUCUGUCAGCACCACGCCACCGCCAUCUGUUUCUCCUCAAGCACACGCUACUGGAACUUAAAGGAAGAGUAAAGAGCAGGAGACCUUUUGACCUUCACGAGGCUACUUGUAAUAAACUAAACUAACUUACACGAGAAAGAGGAGGAGGGGAAGGCGGCGGUAUUGAAACAAAGUGGUGAGGUAAAGAGAAGAGAAAAGGGGAGGUGACGUAGAGGCCGAAGAGGAAUGUUCAGAGGGGAAAAUGAGAAUAUGUAAAGAGGGGAGGAAGAGAACGAGAAGAGGAACAUCGGAGAGGACAUAGAGAGGAAGGGAAAAGGAGGAGAAAGUGAAAUUGGCUAUUCAUCGGAAUGAGCAGCUGGGAUUAAGCUGUCUUGUUAUUGUUAGACGAGGGCGCUACUUCUCUUGUUAAAUGGCGCCGCAGCGGGGGAGCCAACGAGUGACCAUCAGACCGUGAGAUAAUGUACCCGCUAGGAGGAGGAGGAGGGUAAUGAUGAGAAAAAAAAGGAAAAGAAGGAAGAAGAGAUACCAAAAAAAAAAAAAGUGGUUUGUAACGAGUCUUGAAAUUACAUGCUGCUUAUGGUAAACUACGUGUGGUUGAACGAUAAAAUAGAGAAAGAAAAGAUGAGAAAGAAGCAACAGCACAACUACAGCUACAACAACAACAACAACAACAACAGCAGCAGCAGCAAUAACAACAACAACGUAGAGUAAAAAAACGAGGAGGAAGAAGAAGAAGAAGAAGAAGAAGAAGAAGAAGAAGAAGAAGAAGAAGAAGAAGAAGAAGAAGAAGAAGAAGAAGAAGAAGAAGAAGAAGAAGAAGAAGAAGAAGAAGAAGAAGAAGAAAGAAGAAGAAGAAGAAGAAGAAGAAGAAGAAGAAGAA